AUUUGAUGCUGCUAAUUGAUACAUAUGUAUAAAUAUUAAUAACUGCUGCAGUGCAAAAUGCAAGGGAGCUCAGAAACUGAAGACAGAGGAAUUGCAUAGAUUGCGAUCAGACUGGCUGAGUACAACCACUAGAGCAAGGAGAACUAGCCAAGUGGGCUCCGCGGCCAAUAGGGCAUUUAUUUAAGUUAGUUUCAGGCUCAUUCAAAUUGUACAUAUGUUGUAGGCGCAAGCACCACUAUAUAUGUUCGCUGCACAUAUGUAUAUAUGUGCUGAAAAUAAACUUUUGAG
rnacentral:sRNA from 1 species